GACAGAGGGUGCAAACGUUGUUCGGAAUUACUGGGCGUAAAGCGAGUGUAGGCGGUGUGGUAAGUCGGAUGUGAAAGCCCCGGGCUCAACCCGGGAAGUGCACUCGAUACUGCCACGCUAGAGUAUCGGAGAGGUUGGUGGAAUUCUCGGUGUAGAGGUGAAAUUCGUAGAUAUCGGGAGGAACACCGGUGGCGAAGGCGGCGAUCUGGGUAGAUACUGACGCUGAGGUGCGAAAGCGUGGGGAGCAAACAGG
rnacentral:rRNA from 1 species